rnacentral:rRNA from 1 species
GACGAUGCGUAGGGGUUCUGAGAGGAAGGUCCCCCACAAUGGUACUGAGACACGGACCAGACUCCUACGGGAGGCAGCAGUGAGGAAUAUUGGUCAAUGGGAGAGAUCCUGAACCAGCCAAGCCGCGUGAGGGAAGACGGCCCUAUGGGUUGUAAACCUCUUUUGUCGGAGAACAAAACCCGGGACGUGUCCCGGACUGCGUGUAUCCGAAGAAAAAGCAUCGGCUAACUCCGUGCCAGCAGCCGCGGUAAUACGGAGGAUGCGAGCGUUAUCCGGAUUUAUUGGGUUUAAAGGGUGCGUAGGCGGUCUGUUAAGUCAGCGGUAAAAUUGCGGGGCUCAACCCCGUCGAGCCGUUGAAACUGGCAGACUUGAGUUGGCGAGAAGUACGCGGAAUGCGCGGUGUAGCGGUGAAAUGCAUAGAUAUCGCGCAGAACUCCGAUUGCGAAGGCAGCGUACCGGCGCCAGACUGACGCUGAGGCACGAAAGCGUGGGGAUCAAACAGGAUUAGAUACCCUGGUAGUCCACGCAGUAA